CCUACGGGGGGCUGCAGUGGGGAAUAUUGCACAAUGGGGGAAACCCUGAUGCAGCAACGCCGCGUGAGCGAAGAAGGCCUUCGGGUCGUAAAGCUCUGUCCUGAGGGAAGAAGCAUGACGGUACCUCAGGCGGAAACCCCGGGUAACUACGGGCCAGCGGCCGCGGUAAUACGUGGGGGGCGGGCGUUAUCCGGAAUCACUGGGCGUAACGGGUGCGCAGGGGCACAAUUAGGCCAGAGGUGAAAGGCUACGGCGCAACCGUAGUAAGCCUUUGGAACUGAAUUGCUUGAGUGCAGGAGAGGAGAGUGGAAUUCCUAGUGUAGCGGUGAAAUGCGUAGAUAUUAGGAGGAACACCAGUGGCGAAGGCGACUCUCUGGACUGUAACUGACGCUGAGGCACGAAAGCGUGGGGAGCGAACAGGAUUAGAUACCCGUGUAGUC
rnacentral:rRNA from 1 species